AUACUGAUCUUGAGGCUCCAAUGUGUUCCUUCCUGGGACUUGAUAAUGAAAGAUGCUGUGCCUGGAGGGAAAAAGGAAUCUCGAGGAGGAGAUGAAUGGUGUGCUUUUUUCCCCAAAAUACACGAACGUGGUGUUUUCCGGUCCUGGAUUAACGAAACCUCCCAUCCCGCACUUCCUAUAGAGACAUACUGUCAGGAUGUGGUACGGCUCGAUGCGUACCCCUCGUAAUAGGACUUGCCUUCCCAUCUGAAGGUGAGCACUGGGUAGUCCUACUUCAGCUGUGUUGGUUCAGGCAGGGCAGAAAAGACUUACGCGCAGCCAAUAGGCCCUUGAGCUCUGCAGCACCAACCAGCUCAGUAGACAAAUUGUUGUAAUGCACCUCCUAGGUCGUGGUCUAUCUACCCUUCAUUCAAAAGCUGCAUUUACCUUCUAGCUAGUCCUUAGCUCUGUCACAUUUUUCCAGCGCCUGUUUUCAGGUGUUUCUUUUGCAACUAAUCGUGUAGGAAGUGGCUGGAUGCUCCCUGCCAUUAUUUGCUCAGUAUUUCCAGAUGCAGUGGUAUUGAACCACCGCUUGAUUGCCAGCAAAUUUGGUAUCUUCUUAACAAGAUAACCCAUGCCUAGAAACGUCUCUGAGAUACUACUAUGCUAUGUGGAGCCUGACCGAGUUUAUAAUUCCACUAAGGCCUUUCAUUAACUGGAACUCAUGCCAAGCUAGUACCUCUCUUCUCAGCCUUCAAAUGGAGGGUGUGAUACCACCUUGUAAGGCUGUGGGAUUAAACGUGAUAAAUGUAAAAUGCGAAACAUGAUGUCUGGCACCUAAGAGGGUCCCUUAAUAUCCCAUUAGACAGUUGUGUGGAUGGAAUCAUCAGGUUCAACUUCAUUUCUUAGUAUUUUGCUUUUUGGGAUACUUACAAGUUACUCAACUUCUCUGGCUAAUUUGAUAUUUAAUGUAAAAGGAAAUGACACUAUUUUGUCACACUUUCGGAUGCUUAAGGGGAAUCUGAAAUACAAAAAUGGAGCAACGUAUUAAAUGAAAGAUAAAACUCACUUUAGAAAAAAAAAUACCUAUGCAAGCGAAAGAAACCCAUGUAUAGUGAGAAAGCAAAGUUAUAGUAGUUCCCUCUCUGACCCUGCUGACUUUUAUCUCUCUUUAUUUGCACCAGUACUACUGGGUAUUUACAGUGCUAAUAGUACUGUGCUGGCUUAGCCAUGGACAGUGCUUCUCAGAAGGGUUGGCUUUUUAAAAGCAAAGUUUUCUACAAAACUAAGUGUAAAGUAUUAGCAUCUUAGAAACGGAUGAUUGUUCUUAUUUCAGGAAACCUGAAGUCUGUGUAUAGAUGUGCCUGGCUGGCACAGUUGACCACCAUUGGUAUCGCUCCCCAAGUUCACCAUGGUUCUUAUUUAAACUGAUUAGUUUUCCUCUGGAGUUAAGUACCAGAAAACCAGUUUAGUCAGUGCGCCCAUUAGUAUUGUUGAUCGCCAGCCACACAGAGAGGCAGCCAGGCAGCCUGCAGUUGAAUCCCAGGCACUCUCUGGUCAAGUGACCACCAAAAUUACUCAGAGUUCCUUGUGCCUCCAUCUCCUCAUCAGCAAAAGAUAAACAUAGUACCUAGUAGAGUUGUUGUAAGGACUAAAUUAAACGAGUUAAUGCCUCUAAAAAGCUCAGGAGAACCUGGUACCUAGUAUGCACUAUUUAAAUAUUUGUUAAAUGUCUUCUUUAAAAUCUUUCCUUUAGAUCACUCUCUGCCAACAGUAACAAGUGAUGCUGGUCUCUUCCUGUUUAAAAACCAAAUUUCCUAAUGAGUCAGCCAUGAAGUCUCAGUCUCUAGUGUCUGAAGGAUACUUCAGGGUCUCAGCUCAUUUGUAAAGCAAAGAUCAGUGAAAUACUCAGAGCCAAAUCUUUUCAAGCCCAGAUUAUCAACCGAUACUUCCUCAGGAGCCAGAAAAAUACAUCUGGUAAAACCUUCUCCACUGCCACAGAGAAAAGGGGCUGAAACAACAAAAGUAUUGUACAUGGAGCAGGAAGAAAACUUGUUAUUAAAGGCCAGGCUGGCAGAAAGUCGUUUCCAGUGUAAACCAAUAAAACGAAAACACUCUGCCACCUCUCCUGCCUGGAAUCAACCAAAAAUAACAAGGAGAACAAGAAAAGUCUUCAGUGACGCUGGGAAACACCUCAAACUCUGAACAAGCCCGCAUGAAGAAAGCCUCGGAAGACAGCCUUCGGGUCAGGCAGUCCCGACAAGAGGUCCGUGCUCAGCACGCCUGGGACAGGGGUGUCAGAGCGCCGCGUUCUCUGGGACGGGGGAGCCCGGGGGAGGGAAGGACAGACCGCAUCCACGCUGCCUAGAGAGCCUGUCCGGCCCCUUGUCACAGCGUGGCAGGGGACACAUUCAAGCAGCCAGGCACAGACACACCGCUUCUCCAAGGAGCAGGGUAUCCAUGUGGCCUGUGGAGAUAAAACCCUGGAUGACUUAACAGCCCUGAGCUGCCCAUUUUUAUAAGCUGAAGAGUGGUGAAGGCUAAGUCAAAAGUAAGCGUACUGGGAACUUAGAUUAUUUGGAGAUUCAUGAAGAAGUAGUGCAGUGUCUCCCAGCCUGGAUUAGCGCAUGACACGGGGCAAAGUGCCCGUAAGCUUUCCUAGGGGACGUCCCUGUGCUGUUCCUCCUCAGGGAACACCCCCCCUCCACCUGAACCCCACUAGACUGGAAGUAACUCCAUUCCAAGGAGGAAAAAUCAGGAAGGGGCCAGCAUGAAACACAAGAAACACAGGAGGAAAAAGAAGAUGGCGUGAGAAAAGUUGAUAACAGCCACAUCCCAGAAAAAUUACACCAUGAAUGAGACUGCUAGCCUGCCUCUACAAGAACCCAGACUCAAGACUCCAUCAUCAUCUCUUGCCUGAGUUUCCGGCCUGCCUGCCUGAUUUCAGACUUGCCAGCCCACACCACUGUGUGAAGCAAUGCCCUGUUUUUAAGCUACAGAUGUCCUCAAUGCAUGAGUGAGAUUAUGCGUGUGCAAGGGUCAGGAGUACUUCAGAAACAACUCAGUGCCCUUCACUGGAGGAUUAGUUGACACGUUAUGGCACAUCCAUGGGUAGAAUUUGCAGCCGUAAACAAGAAAGCUCUCUAAAUCCUUACAUUAAAGUUUUACUCAAGGUAAUAUGCAGUGAGAAAAGCAAGAUGCAUGCAGAACAGGAUGAAUGGAUGCUCCCAUUUGUAUAAAAAUGAGGGAGAAGAUACAGUAACACAAACACACACACCACUGUCCCCGGAAAGAUGUACAAGGAAUUGGUGAUGUUGGGUAGCAUUGGUUGUUUCUGGGGAAUAGGAAACUUGUACCUUUGAAAUCUGGUAACAUACAUUAUGAAAACAAAUUAAUUCAAAAUGAAAUAAAAAGGCACACCAUGUAACACUGAAGGCAGGCAGAAUCCUGGGUGGCUGUCCGGGACUGCCCACCGGCUUGUGAUGUCUCUGCCCUCUAGAGGCGGCCUGGAGAAGAGCUCGGCAUGACUGUUCCUGUGGACCCCUCACCAGCCAGCCUCCAGCUGGUCUGGGGGCACAGGCCUGCGAGGGCUGCUCACGGGACUCUUUUCCUCUGGUUCCACGCCUUCCUCAGCUGCCAACAGCGGUCCCCAUAUUGGCGGCAGUCAACAGCCGCUAGAGUGGGAGGAAUCAGAACUUGAAUGAACCACAGCUCUACUGGAAUCUCUUCGAGUCCCACGUGUUGAAACAGAAUUGAGCAGAGCUCACUCUGCUCACUAAUGAAAUAUGGAUACUUCAUUAUUCUGGUCCAAAAUACAAAACUAGAAAAGGAAAUUGUAGAAUGAUUUUUUUUUUCAUUUACGAGUGUAGCCUUUGCCCUAACAAUGAAUUACGUAAUGAAUCCCGAGGUUGGAUUUGAAAUCCUGGCACACUCUAAACGUGCAGAAAGGACUCUGUCAUCACCUGUUCUCCCUUCAGGCUGCAGCUGAAAAGUACAGAAGGUAAACCGUUUUCUAAGCUGUUUGAUUUUUCGAAAUUUAAAUCUGUAUUGUAAGUUAACAAUUUGUUUCCACCAUCACACAGUCAUUGUUAAUAUUUUUCAUAUUCUCACCAACUAAUUUCUUCCCCAAAAGAAACUAAGAUGCAUUUUCUGAUUAGAAAAUGAUGACAUGGCCCCUGGCGUCAGCAACAGAGCGGGGCUGACAGGCUGUCUGCUCCCCUCUGUGCUGGAAUCACUGGUGAUUCCAGUCUCUUCCCAGCUGCUUGCCGUGCCAUCACCUUUACUUCCCCGUACUUUCCACCGCUGAGGACAAGUGCGAUCUCUGCCCCCUCACGGUGCUUCUGGGGACGCAUGUGUGAUUCCCCACAGCCACUCUGACCAUCAGGACCCUCUGUGACUACUCAGGGCUCCCUCUGAUACCACAAGAACCCCAGAAACCCCACUGCCAACUGCUGCUGCUGUAUGGGAACUGGAGAGCAGGGAGCUGUGACUGAUCCCGCUGAGUGGAACCCAGAAUUAACCAACCUUCUCGCAGAAAUAAUGCUGUCACCCUGGCUGUCUACUAUUACUAAUACCGUAAUUUCGUACAGAGGUG